AACGAACGCUGGCGGCAUGCCUAACACAUGCAAGUCGAACGAGACCUUCGGGUCUAGUGGCGCACGGGUGCGUAACGCGUGGGAACCUGCCCUUAGGUUCGGAAUAACUCCCCGAAAGGGGUGCUAAUACCGGAUAAUGUCUGCGGACCAAAGAUUUGUCGCCUUUGGAUGGGCCCGCGUUGGAUUAGCUUGUUGGUAGGGUAAAAGCCUACCAAGGCGACGAUCCAUAGCUGGUCUGAGAGGAUGAUCAGCCACACUGGGACUGAGACACGGCCCAGACUCCUACGGGAGGCAGCAGUGGGGAAUAUUGGACAAUGGGCGAGAGGCUGAUCCAGCAAUGCCGCGUGAGUGAUGAAGGCCUUAGGGUUGUAAAGCUCUUUUACCCGGGAUGAUAAUGACAGUACCGGGAGAAUAAGCUCCGGCUAACUCCGUG
rnacentral:rRNA from 1 species